rnacentral:rRNA from 1 species
AGCAGCCGCGGUAAUUCCAGCUCCAAUAGCGUAUAUUAAAGUUGUUGCAGUUAAAAAGCUCGUAGUUGAAUUUCGGGGUCAGUAGGUUGGUCGUGCCACUGGUAUGCACUGGUCUCACUGAUUCCUCCUUCCUGAUGAACCGUAAUGCCAUUAAUUUGGUGUUGCGGGGAAUCUGGACUGUUACUUUGAAAAAUUGAGUGUUUAAAGCAGGCUAACGCUUGAAUACAUUAGCAUGGAAUAAUGAAAUAGGACGAUCGAUCCUAUUUUGUUGGUUUCUAGGAUUGACGUAAUGAUUAAUAGGGAUAGUUGGGGGCAUUAGUAGUCAAUUGUCAGAGGUGAAAUUCCUGGAUUUAUUGAGGACUAACUACUGCGAAAGCAUUUGCCAAGGAUGUUUUCAUUAAUCAAGAACGAAAGUUAGGGGAUCGGAAGACGAUCAGAUACCGUCGUAGUCUUAACCAUAAACUAUGCCGACUAGGGAUCGGGAUGAUGUUAAUUUUUAAUGACUCAUUC